AUACUUACGUGGCAGGGGAGAUGCCGUGAUCAAGAAGGUGGUUCACCCAGGGUGAGGCUCUGGGAAUGGGAAUCUCGACUGCAUAAUUUAUGGUUGUAGGCGAAUCUGUUCGCACUCUCCCCUG
rnacentral:snRNA from 1 species